GUGGGGAAUCUUCCGCAAUGGACGAAAGUCUGACGGAGCAACGCCGCGUGAGUGAAGAAGGUUUUCGGAUCGUAAAGCUCUUUCGUUAGGGACGAACGUGCUCUUUGUGAAUAAUGAGGAGUAAUGACGGUACCUAAAUAAGAAGCCACGGCUAACUACGUGCCAGCAGCCGCGGUAAUACGUAGGUGGCAAGCGUUGUCCGGAAUUAUUGGGCGUAAAGCGCGCGCAGGCGGGAUAUCAAGUCUGUCUUAAAAGUGCGAGGCUCAACCUCGUGAGGGGACAGAAACUGGUAUUCUUGAGUGUCGGAGAGGAAAGUGGAAUUCCAAGUGUAGCGGUGAAAUGCGUAGAGAUUUGGAAGAACACCAGUGACGAAGGCGACUUUCUGGACGAUGUCUGACGCUGAGGCGCGAAAGCUAGGGGAGCGAACGGGAUUAGAAACCCCAGUAGUCC
rnacentral:rRNA from 1 species